rnacentral:misc_RNA from 1 species
UUAUUUACAUACCAGCCCGUGCGAGCGAAUUUAUGAUUAUUACUUUUUAGUAUCAUAUAUUUAGAUUUUGGGCGUCUAGUGUAUAUCUAGUGAGUGAUGAUUGAUGACUAGUGUUAACGUUAAAUAUUAAUAUCGGAUUUGACCGUUUUGAGACAACCCGCGAUUUCAUGCUUAUUAGUUAUUAUCAUAUGUAGAUAGUGGAAAGUAAAAGUAAUUAUUAUUUAAUAUCUAUCGUAACCACAUUGUAAAAGACGUUCGUUGAUCGAUAAUAAUAUUUUGUAAAUUGGCAUAAAAUUAAUCCGAACUUCGUGUUCCUUCUUAAGCCCGUCUUAUCGAGUAUAGACAAUGCCGAAUAACCAGUUCAUGCACCCGAGAAAUAUAUACCGUACACCUCCCGCUUUCAAAGAGUUGUCGGUUAAAUAUCCAGAGUUCAAUAAAUAUGCGUCAACUGGUUUAAAUGGAAAAAUUGUUUUCGAUUUUAAAAAUCAGGAAGGUCUUCGAUUAUUAACUACUAUACUAUUGAAGAAAGACUUUGAUUUAGAUGUUGAUUUGCCAGUAGGUAGAUUAAUACCUACCAUUCCAUUACGACUAAACUAUUUAUUGUGGAUUGAAGAUCUGUUCAACUUGAACUACGACAAUACAAAAAAAAUCAAAGGAAUAGAUAUAGGUACAGGCUCAUCAUGCAUUUAUCCAUUAUUAGCAGCUAAACAAUUUCAAUGGUCCAUGGUCGGUACUGAUAUCAAUAAAGAAGCUGUUAAAAAUGCUAUUAAAAAUGUGGAAAAAAAUAAUUUACAAAAUUUAAUUCAAGUUCUUGAAGUAUCAGAAUGGGAAAGAUUAUUGCCAGUAGCAGUAGAUGAACAUUAUGACUUCUGUAUGUGUAACCCACCUUUUCAUAGUUAUUCAAAUUUAAACUCAGAUGAUGAUGAAGCUGAUAGUUCAGUAGGAAUUACUUCUGAAAUGUAUACAAUAGGAGGAGAAGUUGAUUUUGUAAAAAAAAUGAUCAAGGAAAGUGAAAUAUUACAAAAUUCAAUAAGUAUUUAUACAACAAUGGUUGGUUAUAAAGCAUCAUUAGACCCUCUAAAAAAUGAACUGAAAGCUAUUGGAGCAUGUACAGUUGCAGAAGCUGGUUUCUAUCAAGGUCGGAAUGCUCGUUGGGGAAUUGCUUGGACAUUUCAAUCUGAUAUAAAAUUAAAGGAUUUUUUGCCUAAUAAAGAGUUUCAAAAGGAGAAGUUAAAACAACUUAGACCUCCUGUGUCUUUUAAAAUUCCAGAAACAUAUGACUCUACAACUGCUCUAACCAAACUAUCAGAACUUCUAGCUAGUCUUAAGUUAUCCAUAGCGACAUUAAAAUCAAAAAGUGAUGAAAAUGUCUUAUACCAAGCUGACAUUCAAGCAUAUGAAAAUACAUGGACUCAUCAAAGACGAAAGAGACGUUUGGAAAAAAGAUUAGCUGAUAUCAAACGUCAAAAAACAAAUGAUAAUUGCUUACACAUUGAAUCGGAUGAUGAAAAAGCUGAUCAGCAUUUAGAGACUACAGUGAAUGCAAAGCCAUUAUUUUCAGCUACUGUAGUUCUAAGAAAAACAGACAAUUCAAUUUGUAUAGACAUGUUGCACAUGUAUGGCAAUAGAGACAAUUCAUAUCAAGUUUUUCAGUUCUUUAAGAAUAGAUUUAUAUAAUGGUUUCGUGUGACACAAAUUUAGGAAAACCAAAUCCAAGGCUAUCUGGCUGUGUGCUUGGUCGUUGAAAAUUCUCCCAAGAUGGAUCAGGCACAAAACUUUCAACUAUGUUACAUGGCUAUAAAAUGACAAAGAUCCGUUGCCAUUCAAAAACACCGAUGCUUGCAACUUAUACCCAAAUUGGCUGGUAUAAAACGGCGAACUAAUGAGUUCUAGACCAUCACCACAUAAUUUGUGCCGACCCUCUUCAAGUUUUUCCAGUACAGUCGCUGAUUUUCCAAAUUAGCGUACCUUUAAGUAAUAAAAUAUUUAUAAGCAAUUGAUAUUUAAAUUUAAUGUAUUGUUUAAAAAAUAUUAUGUACCAGACUGAUUAACAGCUAAAUUAUUUAUCACUUUUUUCAUGGAUACAAUUUGCUGUUGUUGUUUAGUGACCAUUGAACACAUUAAUGUUAAAUGUUGUUGGCUUGCUUCUUCCAUGUGAGUGUCCAUUUGCUUACCUCUUAAACUCUAUAGUUGAAAAUAUGAAAGUUAGUUAAAACUUUAAAAGGUACUCAAAUUAUAUCUUUAACUUUGUACCUUGAAUCGACAACCGACAUCUUUAAAGCUACAAGAUGUUAAUAUCGAAUGACAUGCAUGUUUAAUGUGAUGUUCUAAAUCUUCACGUGCUACAGUGACAAUUUCACAUCGAUUGGGACAAGUUAAAGGGAAACGUGGGCAUGAUGUUGU